GUGGCUGUAGCUCAGUUGGUUAGAGCGCCGGAUUGUGAUUCCGGAGGUCGGGGGUUCAAGACCCCUCAGCCACCC
rnacentral:tRNA from 1 species